GGGGAACUGGGGAUAAUACUCCAUAAGUCAGGAGUACUGGAAUGUCUCCUAACUGAAAGUUGCGGCGCCAUAGGAUGAAUCUGCGGCCGAUUAGGUAGUUGUUGGGGUAACGGCCCAACAAGCCUGUAAUCGGUACGGGUUGUGGGAGCAAGAGCCCGGAGAUGGAAUCUGAGACACGAUUCCAGGCCCUACGGGGCGCAGCAGGCGCGAAAACUUUACAAUGCAGGAAACUGUGAUAAGGGAACCCCGAGUGCCCGUAAACGCGGGCUGUCCCGGUGUUUAAAACACAUCGGAAGAAAGGGCCGGGCAAGACCGGUGCCAGCCGCCGCGGUAAUACCGGCGGCUCGAGUGGUGACCACUUUUAUUGGGCUUAAAGCGUUCGUAGCUUGAUUUUUAAGUCUCUUGGGAAAUCUCACGGCUUAACUGUGAGGCGUCUAAGAGAUACUGGGAAUCUAGGGACCGGGAGAGGUAAGAGGUACUUCAGGGGUAGAAGUGAAAUUCUGUAAUCCUUGAGGGACCACCGAUGGCGAAGGCAUCUUACCAGAACGGCUUCGACAGUGAGGAACGAAAGCUGGGGGAGCGAACGGGAUUAGAUACCCCSGUAGUCCCAGCCGUAAACUAUGCGCGUUAGGUGUGCCUGUAACUACGAGUUACCGGGGUGCCGAAGUGAAAACGUGAAACGUGCCCCCUGGGAA
rnacentral:rRNA from 1 species